rnacentral:misc_RNA from 1 species
AAGUCGUAACAAGGUUUCCGUAGGUCAGUAAAACUCUAGAAACCCUUAUAUAUCGGCCGUCCCAAGACUAACAUGUUAACAGGUGAACCUGCGGAAGGAUCAUUACUGAGAUAGGGUCCUCCGGGGCCCGAACCUCCAACCCUAAAUCUACAAUACUCUGUUGCUUCGGGGAGGUCAACCCUCUGGCCUUACGGCCUCGGGCGCUCCCCAGAAGAAUCAACCAAAAACCCUUUGAAAUGAGCAUCUAAGCCGAAUUUUAAUAUUCAAAA